CAAUAGCGUAUAUUUAAGUUGUUGCAGUUAAAAAGCUCGUAGUUGGAUUUCGGGUGGGACGCAGCGGUCUCGCAUUGCGUUUGUACUGCUGCAGCCCUCCUUCUUGCCGGGGGCGGCCUCUCGGACUUCACUGUCUGGGGGUCAGAAUCGGCGAUGUUACUUUGAGUAAAUUAGAGUGUUCAAAGCAAGCUUACGCUCUGAAUAUAAUAGCAUGGGAUAACACGAUAGGACUCUGGCCUAUCGUGUUGGUCUAUAGGACCAGAGUAAUGAUUAAGAGGGACAGUCGGGGGCAUUCGUAUUCCGUUGUCAGAGGUGAAAUUCUUGGAUUUACGGAAGACGAACAUCUGCGAAAGCAUUUGCCAAGGAUGUUUUCAUUGA
rnacentral:rRNA from 1 species